UACGAAGGGGGCUAGCGUUGUUCGGAAUUACUGGGCGUAAAGGGCGCGUAGGCGGUGUGUCAAGUCAGGAGUGAAAGGCCUGGGCUCAACCGAGGAACUGCUUUUGAGACUGCCGAGCUAGAGUGCAGAAGGGGCAACUGGAAUUCCCAGUGUAGCGGUGAAAUGCGUAGAUAUUGGGAAGAACACCUGAGGCGAAGGCGGGUUGCUGGGCUGACACUGACGCUGAGGCGCGAAAGCCAGGGGAGCAAACGGG
rnacentral:rRNA from 1 species